rfam:Spirochaetes bacterium DG_61 WOR1_52_54_820, whole genome shotgun sequence.
GUGCCCAUAGCUCAGUGGAUAGAGCAUUGGAUUGCGGAUCCAAGGGUCGGAGGUUCAAAUCCUCUUGGGCACG